UACGUAGGGUGCAAGCGUUAAUCGGAAUUACUGGGCGUAAAGCGUGCGCAGGCGGUCUUGCAAGACAGAUGUGAAAUCCCCGGGCUUAACCUGGGAACUGCAUUUGUGACUGCAAGGCUGGAGUGCGGCAGAGGGGGAUGGAAUUCUGCGUGUAGCAGUGAAAUGCGUAGAUAUGCGGAGGAACACCGAUGGCGAAGGCAAUCCCCUGGGCCUGCACUGACGCUCAUGCACGAAAGCGUGGGGAGCAAACAGG
rnacentral:rRNA from 1 species